GAUGAACGCUGGCGGCGUGCCUAAUACAUGCAAGUCGAACGCUGGAAAUCUAGCUUGCUAGAUUGAAGGAGUGGCGAACGGGUGAGUAAUACAUAAGCAACCUACCCACGAAGGCUGGGAUAAUCUCUGGAAACGGGGACUAAUACCGGAUAGGUAAUCGGAAGGCAUCUUCUGAUUAUUAAAGGUUAAAAACACUGGUGGAUGGGCUUAUGGCGCAUUAGUUAGUUGGUGAGGUAACGGCCCACCAAGACGAUGAUGCGUAGCCGGCCUGAGAGGGUGAACGGCCACAUUGGGACUGAGACACGGCCCAGACUCCUACGGGAGGCAGCAGUAGGGAAUUUUCGGCAAUGGGGGAAACCCUGACCGAGCAACGCCGCGUGAGUGAUGACGGCCUUCGGGUUGUAAAGCUCUGUUGUAAGGGAAGAACGGUAGAUAGAGAAUAUCUAAAUGACGGUACCUUACCAGAAAGCCACGGCUAACUACGUG
rnacentral:rRNA from 1 species